rnacentral:rRNA from 1 species
UACGGAGGGGGGCUAGCGUUGUUCGGAAUUACUGGGCGUAAAGCGCGCGUAGGCGGACCUGCAAGUCGGGGGUGAAAGCCCGAGGCUCAACCUCGGAACUGCCUUCGAUACUGCGGGUCUCGAGUCCGGGAGAGGUGAGUGGAAUUCCUAGUGUAGAGGUGAAAUUCGUAGAUAUUAGGAAGAACACCAGUGGCGAAGGCGGCUCAGCUGGCCCGGUUCUGACGCUGAGGCGCGAAAGCGUGGGGAGCAAACAGG